rnacentral:lncRNA from 1 species
CUCUGCUGCGGUCCUCAUGAGAGCCAGUUUCAUCAUAGAGCUUGAUGGUUUUUGCAACUGCAUUUGAAGAAACUUUUAUAAAGUUCUUGACAUUUUCCAGAUCGACUGACCUUCAUGCCUUUAAAGUAAUAAUGGACUGUCGUUUCACUUUGCUUAUUUGAGCUGUUCUUGCCAUAAUAUGGACUUGGUCUUUUACCAAAUAGGGCUAUCUUCUGUAUACCACCGCUACCUUGUCACAACACAGCUGAAUGGCUCAAAUGCAUUAAGAAGGAAAUAAAUUCCACAAAUGAACGUUUAACCAGACACACCUGUUAAUCGAAAUGCAUUCCAGGUGACUCCCUCAUGAUGCUGGUUGAGAGAAUGCAAAGCUGUCUUCAAGGCAAAGGUUGGCUACAGUUAAGAAUCUCUACUAUAAGAUAUAUUUUGAUUUGUUUAACAACUUUUUUUGGUUACUACAUGAUUCCAUAUGUGUUAUUUCAUAGUUUUGAUGUCUUCACUAUUAUUCUACAAUGUAGAAAACAGUAAAAAUAAAGAAAAACCCUGGAAUGAGUAGGUGUGUCCAAACUUUUGACUGGUACUGUAUGUUUUUACUGGUUUGUGAGAUACUUAGUCGUAUUUGCAGAGAUUGGCAGGUCUCUCUGCGAUAUCUACGAUGGGGACAUUUUGCAUGCUGUUCCUGUAUGAGGGUAUUAAUAUAGUAGGCUAUACACAUCUGUGGACCUACAGUAUGGUAGCUUUGACACAGUAUUCAUGCAUUAUUAAUGAUUCUGUUCUCUCUUAUUCCUUCCUGUAAAGGGGGGGGGAAGAGAACACACACACACACUGAAUUGUCUCUAGUGUGUUGCUCCAGUAAAUAACUAUCAUUGUCAUAACUUUCUGAAACAAAGGAUUCAGGAAAAUCUACGAUGACACCACAGUAAUGUUCUUUUAAAGCGCUAUGACAUCAUAUUGGCAUUCUCUAAAACAGCGACAGUGACGUCAUAAUGACAGUCUCUAACAUAUCCACGAACAUAUCCACAUGUACUGAAUUGUUGAAUGUAACAAUAUGUUACCCCACAAAAUGGUCUCUGACUUUUACCAGGAGGAGAAUACACAUAUACUAGAGACCUGUAACAAUCAGCUUCUCUUCUAUAUAUUUUGGUUGGUUCGAGGUAGUUUGCUGCUUGGAUAAAACAGCCACAACCCUUGAAAUACUGAUGUCAUGCAGUCUGCUGAAUUGGUGAAUUGUGGUUGUGGGUCCUGGACACGAGGCUAAAGUAAAAAACUGGCAUAUGGAAAUAAUUUGGACUGGGAAGAUGCGAACAAAGUAUGUGAUCUAAGUUUUGUGUGAUGAUAAUGUGUUAGAUCAUUUGAAAGGGGGAAUGAAAAUGUAAAUAUAUAAAACCUAUAUUUUUCAAUCUGUUAGUUGUGAUGUCCUCAAUGUUUGACUUUGACCAGAAUGUUCUUUUUGUCUUAUCUUGUGGGUUUUGCUGUUACAAAGAUGAGCUUGGAAAAGGAAGAUUCAAAAGAUGGAGACACUGAUAUUUUUGUAACAAACUAACGAAGCUGAGCCAGUCAAUGUAUCUCAUGCUUUGGUUCAUCAAGGUUGACUUGUAGAACAUUUGAAAAUCAAUAAACAGCUGACUCAGAU